UGUUCAUUAGGCAACACACAUUUCUCUAUAUUUGUGUUCUGUGGAGGCAGUGUUUUUAACUCUUUCCCUCUAAUCUCUUAUUGUUUGUGUGUACGUUGUUUAACGCCUUAAAUAGAAACAGAAUACGCCUAGAGGCCCAACCAUAAGUUGUAUUUCCUUAUCAAAGAGUUACAGUGCAGCAAAGUAUCCUGAGACUCCUACAUGGUCCAGAGCCAGAUAAAGUAGGAUCUCACACAAAUCGGGCUGGCAAUUGCCUUGCAGCAGAGCCAUCAAGUCAACAAGACAAGACAAGACAUAACCUUAAAAACGAGUGAGGUAUGCCAUACUAAAAUAUGUAUCAAACGUUAAAAUCAAAAUUUUAAUGUAAAAAUGGGAAGAGAGUAAUAUAGUCAUCAACACUUAUUUUUUCUUACUAAAGGCAAAGCCAAAACAUAAGCAGGACCUUAACUAGGAUACUAUAUAGAAUUUUGAAGAAUUCACAUCUUGGAGGGCACAAGAUAAUAGGGAAGUAGAUUAUGCUUGUCAGACCCGAAACAAGUUUAAGAAUGGGGAAGAACAAAUAUUUUACAAUUGCAACAGUAGCGAUAUCAGAGGUUGUACAAAGUCUUAGUCAUCAUUAUCAACUAAACAUACAUAAGUAUGUUUAGUUGAGUUUACUUCUAGGAUUUAAUAGCGCAUGCAAAGUGAGAAGUCUGGGGGAAGCAUUCGCAUUCAAGGAACAUGUCAACAAGACCAAACUCAAAUAGCUAUCAGCAUAAAAUUGUAAUAGAAGCCCAUAACAAAGCCGAAAAAAUGAAUGGUAAGGUAGAAUUUUUAGAAUUUGUAAAAUUUAAAGUAGUAAGUGUUUUGGUAAGUGGUAAGUUCUAUGUUGUGUCUUGUCAUGAACUAUGUGAUGAGCAAUGUCGCACUGGAUACUGUAACAUCUGUAAAAUAUGUUUUCAUAAAUACAGAUGUGACUGUCCAGAAAAUUCUGUCAAAACAGUACUUUGUAAACAUAUACAUGCUGUAGCCAUUUUUGAGCAGAGGAGCGAGUUUGUUGUAGGUUCCCCAACUGUGAGUGAAGAGGAAGAGGAUAAUGUUUUGUUUGUUGAUCAACCACAACUAGCCAAAUCAAUUAUUAGGAGGAUGUAAACCAUUUUAUUCAGGAGAGUUCGAAAAUGAAAGUCAAUAGUUCUGCAAUGGACUUUGAAGAAAAUCGAGAAGUAGUUUGAGUAACCUAUAAGUUACAUUUUUAUUACAUCGGUUAUACUUAUUUUAAGAUUGCAUUGCAAGAAAUUUGUAGCUAUUGUAGAAGUUUAGAUAAAAAUGCAUUUGCCAGAGUUAUGGCUGUAAUCAACAAAUUUAAAAAAAAAGAAGUGGAGGAAGAAAAUUCUCAGGGCAUUGAAAAGAAAAGAAAAAUUGAGAAACAAAUGUACUAUCCAAAUAAAAAACAAGCUAGAUUUCUUUGUGUAUUUAAUGGCUAGAUAAUAUUUGAAUUGUAGCUAUUUUUUUAUGUUUGUAUAGCUGUGAAGUUAACAAAAAUAGGAUGUGGUAUUUUAUAUGAUGUUUUGUGUUAUAAUCAGUAUAAUAUAACUAAGUAUAUUUUUUUGUAAGGUUUUGGUGCAGGUUUCAAAUUGUAAAUACAAAUUUUAUGUAAGAGGUCAUAUACAUAACUAGGUAUAGUUUUUGUAAGGCUUAAUUUGGUGUAGGUUUCAAAUUGUAAAAAUAAAUUUUAAGACGUCAUAGGUGUUGGUUUCUGUAUAACUAUUUUUAUAUCUUUUAUUUUAAGACUAAAAAUGUUAAUAUUUAACUAAUCAUUUUCUAUUACAUUUUCUUUGCUAUGUUUUUAAUAUUUUUUAGGGUGCAGAAAAGCUAAUUGGAUUAACUUGAAAUUGACAUGGAACGAGGGGGAAGAUCCCCUGUGAGUAUAUAUUUAUUAAUUAAAAUGUAUACAGAGCAGUAAUUUUUUUUCAUGUUACUAUUGAAUGGAAGUUUGAAUGGUUUGGGCUGUAUAUACAUGACCAGCAGAGAUGAUAAAUAAUAAGCUAAAGAAGUGCGAGUCUACAUACUAUAUAUCAGAUUAAUACAUUUAGCCUCUUUGCAUUUAAUUUUGAGGUUGUUGAUAUUAAAAGUACCAUAAAUUAUUAUAUUUAAAUAGCAAAUAAAUUUAUAGAUUUUUUAUUAUUUAAAAUAAACAAAGUUUAUAAUUAAAUUAAAAAUAUAAUUUCUACGUU
rnacentral:misc_RNA from 1 species